AAUCAAGUUGUAACACUCGCUGCUGUGGUCCACAGCUUCAUUCCUUGAAGCCCGUGAGACACGAACGCUUCCAUUGAGAAAAACCUUCCAUCAGAAGAAGACUUCUCGUCUCAGUGGGACUGCUGAGUUGAAUGGUGCUUUUUUUUCUGAAGCUUUGGUAGUGUAACUGUAAGAGUCCUGGAAUUGGAAAAGCAAAUCCAGAAGUUGAGUUCCAUGACUUUUUUGCUGUUUGCCUUUGGACUUGCAUCAUUUAUAUUUUUAAUUCAUCGAGGAUGAGAAAAUUGAUUAACACAAAAUCUUUUCAUGUCUUUUCUGAUGAGAGACUAGCUGAAUCCAAGAAGAGAAGCCCUUGAAGAGUGUAUUCUAUUCUAGACAAGCAUUCACACAUUGGCUUCUUUGGUGCCAGCAUGUUUCUGAUCAGCAUGAAAACUGCGCAGGAGCUUUUCUGUCUUGCAGAGCUAGUUAAUGAGAUUGUUGCUGCCUUCAGAUUCUAUAAAGGACUUCUCCAAUAUUGGAUUAAAGAAUGAAGAAAGGAUCAAAUUGAGACAUCCAGGGGGGAAGAGUUCCCUGGCAAAACUCCAAUCUGCCUGAGCACUGAGGUGGAGCCACAGAAGUCCGGGUCAUUUGCACCUGGGAGGAGCCUGGCCCCUCCUCUUCCUGUGUGGAAUCUGGGAUUUAAUCUGUGAGGAGGGAAGGCCAAGGGCAGGAAGCACAGGCUCUCACUUCACUAAGAGUCUCUGUUUCCCCUUUUUUUCCUUUAUGCCUAAUUAAUAAAUCCCAUUUUUCUCACUCUUCAAAUAGUCUUCAAGCCUAAAUUUUCAUGACCAUGGAACAAGGACCCCAUCUUUAGCUGAACUAAGGAAAAGUCCUGCAACAAAAUUCUUUGCUAAAAAUACAUGAGGUUGCCUUUUCCUUCUUAAUCUUAAAAGAAAUAUAUUUCAAUGGUUAACGUUUUAGUAAUUCAAAAAUUAUCAAGCAUUUGUUCACAACCAUAAGAUGUGCAUUGUUUUAUAUUCCUACUUAAUAAUAGACUAUAAUUGUCUAA
rnacentral:lncRNA from 1 species